rnacentral:lncRNA from 1 species
GUACCUGUUCUGCUUCUUUUCCCGAACAAGAUCUCCUUCGGCCGCUGCUCGACCGCCCACGUCGGCACUCGACUCCACCAUCUGCCGCCAGGCUGACUGUCGGCUCGCCGGAAGAACUGAUACCGGGGUGGUGCCCUCCGGUGCCGUAGCUGCUGCUGGGGAGGCUAGUGUUGCCUCCGUCAUAGUUUGUCUUCAUGGUGGCGAUCGCAGCGCUCCGUGGCUCCUGCUCAUCAGAGGCCUCCUGGUCGAAA